rnacentral:rRNA from 1 species
AAGUCCGGCAACGAGCGCAACCCACGUCCUUAGUUGCCAGCAUUCAGUUGGGCACUCUAAAGAAACUGCCGAUGAUAAGUCGGAGGAAGGUGUGGAUGACGUCAAGUCCUCAUGGCCCUUACGGGUUGGGCUACACACGUGCUACAAUGGCAGUGACAAUGGGUUAAUCCCCAAAAGCUGUCUCAGUUCGGAUUGUUCUCUGCAACUCGAGAGCAUGAAGUCGGAAUCGACUAGUAAUCGCGUAACAGCAUGACGCGGUGAAUACGUUCCCGGGCCUUGUACACACCGCCCGUCACACCAUGGGAAGUUGGGUCUACCCGAAGACGGUACGCUAACCUGUUCGCAGGAGGCAGCCGGCCACGGUA